CCCGGAUGUUCCUGUGAGCGCGCGCUUCCUUCCUUCCCCGGUGCUGUGUGUAACAUCACUAAAGUAACCGCGCCCUAUUUAAGGAGGCAGAGGGAGAGCAGAGGGGAGAGCUCAUCCCGGGACUAGAACACAGCGUGCGUGUGUGUGUGUUUCUUUCUUUCUCUCAAGAAUAAAAGUAGGCUGUUAAACUGAAAAGUCUGACAAUAAAAAGCCUAUUAGUACCAGAA